rnacentral:rRNA from 1 species
UACAGAGGGUGCUAGCGUUGUUCGGAAUCAUUGGGCGUAAAGGGCGUGUAGGCGGUUUGCUAAGUCAUGUGUGAAAUCCCUCGGCUUAACCGGGGAACGACGCACGAAACUGGCAAGCUGGAGUACCAAAGAGGGGGGUGGAAUUCCCGGUGUAGCGGUGAAAUGCGUAGAUAUCGGGAAGAACACCCGUGGCGAAGGCGGCUCUCUGGGACGGUACUGACGCUGAGACGCGAAAGCGUGGGGAGCGAACAGG